UACGGCCUACGGGAGGCAGCAGUGAGGAAUAUUGGUCAAUGGCCGGAAGGCUGAACCAGCCAAGCCGCGUGAAGGACGAAGGUGCCAAGCAUUGUAAACUUCUUUUGUCAAGGGACAAAAUCAGGCUCGAGAGCCUGACCGAGGAUACUUGAAGAAAAAGCAUCGGCUAACUCCGUGCCAGCAGCCGGGGUAAUACGGAGGACGCGAGCGUUAUCCGGAUUUAUUGGGUUUAAAGGGUGCGUAGGCGGGCUGUUAAGUCAGCGGUAAAAGCCCGGGGCUCAACCCCGGCGAGCCGUUGAAACUGG
rnacentral:rRNA from 1 species